GCCAAACCUUGCGGUCGUGUCGGGUCCAAACUGUUUGGCAGUAGAGGCUGCGAUCCUGGGAUUCCACCUGGAGGCUGAACACGUGGAAAAAAAGCAUGACUGACAGGGUCGCGGGGAGCUUAAGCCCAUCCCAGGUGACUCCAUCCUGGUCGACUCGAGAGCCAAUCACAGGGCACAGAGACCGCGACAGCAUUGAUGACGAUUUAAUCAUGUAAUAUUUUAUGAUUGCAUGAUUAUUAUUUGUGUGUUCAAAUAUGUGAGCGUACAGGAUGGGUUGAUUAAUUCUUUUUCGUACAGUCUCUUCACAUUGUGGAUUUCCUCCACUAUCGAGUGGGUGUGGAAUGUGUGAACGGGGGUUCACUGUUAAGUGUAAAAGCCUUUUGAAGCCGGCAACUCGUACACUGUCAAGUGAAAAGAUAAAAAAGUUAUCACUGCGAUCUGGCUGAUUUGCAGGAUGCGUGUGUGUAAGGAAAAAAGAAAAAAGUUACAAAGUAACAACUGCAAUCUGGCUGAUUUGCAGGAUGUGCCUGACAGUUGAUAUUUGACAAACACACAUUUUAAAAGCACAAAAA